rnacentral:rRNA from 1 species
AGCUAGAUGAUGUUAAUAUUUAGUGCUUUCUGCUCAAUGGGGAUAACUAAAUAGCCGCAGUACCCUGACUGUGCAAAGGUAGCAUAAUCAUUUGGCUUAUAAUUGAAGUCUGGCAUGAAUGAAUUAAUGGGGAACAUCUGUCUAUAAUAUUCUACUAGAAUUUAAUUAAUAAGUGAAAAUUCUUAUAAAUAAAUAAAAGACGAGAAGACCCUAGAAAUUUUAUUUAUUCUAGUAUAAUACUAUAUCAUUUUGUUGGGGCGACAGAAUAACAGAUAACUUAUUUUAUUUAAUUAGCAUUAUAUAUUAUGUAAAAUUAAAUUACUCUAGGGAUAACAGCAUAAUUUAUAAAAGUUUGUGACCUCGAUGUUGGACUAGGAAAUUUAAUAUUCAAAAGGUAUUAAAAUUUGCUCUGUUCGAGCAUUAACUCCUACAU